AGGGCAUCGCUGGGUAGCUAUGUAUGGAUGAGAUAAACGCUGAAAGCAUCUAAGUGCGAAACUCACCUCGAGAUAAGAUUUCCCAUUCCUUUAUGGAAGUAAGACCCCUGAGAGAUGAUCAGGUAGAUAGGAUGGAAGUGGAAGUACGGUGACGUAUGGAGCGGACCAUUACUAAUCGGUCGAGGACUUAACCAAG
rnacentral:rRNA from 1 species